rnacentral:rRNA from 1 species
UACGUAGGGUGCAAGCGUUGUCCGGAAUUAUUGGGCGUAAAGGGCUCGUAGGCGGUCCGUCACGUCGGGAGUGAAAACUCAGGGCUUAACCCUGAGCCUGCAGUGGGUACGGGCAGACUAGAGUGUGGUAGGGGAGAUCGGAAUUCCUGGUGUAGCGGUGGAAUGCGCAGAUAUCAGGAGGAACACCGGUGGCGAAGGCGGAUCUCUGGGCCAUAACUGACGCUGAGGAGCGAAAGCAUGGGGAGCGAACAGG